rnacentral:lncRNA from 1 species
CUUGCAGAAGUAGUCAGAGAUGGCAGAGAAAAUGUAAGCCAGGUGUUAUAAAACUAGAAAGAACGCAUAAAAGCUUAUUUAUUAUGUGAAAAAUUACUGAUCAACACUGCCAUAUUGGGCUGUUCCAUCAGGAAAUUUUUCCUACAAUAUAUCUCCCUCAAAAGAGAGAGAGGGGGGAGAGAGAGAGAGAGAGAGAGAGAGAGAGAGAGAGAGAGAGAGAGAGAGAGAGAGAAAGGGAAGAAAAAAGAAAUCCCUGCUCCCCAUGUGGGGAUUAUUAGAAAAGUUGGGAGGGGGAGGGGACGUUCUGGUGGAGAGAAGGGGCAUUGUGCCGGGAAGAUGGAACGGUGCAGGAUAUUCCCUGAAAGCCUCCCCUGCUUCCAGACUGCGGUGGUUUCUGGCAGGGCUCACUGGGGAGGGAACAGUCCCCUGUAGCAACCGGUGAGCCUGGCUGCACUGUCAGGCGGACUCCGUCUUCAGGGGAAUUACCGUGAGACGGGGGAGGGUGCUCUUGGAAACUCAGGACUUCCAUGUCCGCCUUCCCACGGGAGCCAAGCCUGCAGCGGUCAGUCCCCGUGUGGCGCUAGUGUGGACGGGAGCUGACGGAGGGGAGUCCUGGCGGGUGGGGUGAAUGGAAUGGAAAUAGAGGCAACUGCGCCCAGCACGUGUGGUGGGCUGUCCAUGGCAGGCACAGCGCUGCGCGUGUGAGCAGACUGAGGAGCAGGAGCCGGAGCCGGAGCAGCCUGCCUGAGGGCCACCACUCUUCUGCACAAAGGUGCAGGGAAGGUCGCUGGAGGCACUAGCAGAGGACCAGGUGUUACCAGCCGCGCCCGGACGUUGGCCCAGCGCAUGCAGUUGUUCCCAGUCUCGGAGUGCGAAAUGAACGCGAAGGAGGACUGGUGAACCCGUGGUCCCGCAGGCGUCUCCGCGUUCUGUGGAGGAGGGAGAGCCCACCCACUCAGAGUGGCCGCAUCUGGAGAAAGAGGGAAGAUGUAGUUACUGAACCUGAUCCGGUGUUUGUGAAUCCUGCGGUACCCACGGCGGGUCAGGAGACGCCCCGCUGGCCCAUGGACACAUGGAUAUUCCAGGAGCCACAUGAAGGUAACAAGCAAGCUUGUAUUCUCAUCUUAAAAUGUGCUACUUUGCAAAGGCGUGAGCCUGGCCUUGAGAAUGGAGGGGUUUCUCCUUGCAAGGAGUACCAGAUGGCCUGACCUUGAGGAGCACUCAUUCAGGGUCACCGUGCACCGUGUCCUCUGUUGCUAGACGUGGACCUGAGCGACUCUGAUCCAGUCAGCAAGCCUGGUCCCCCUGGGGCUUGUCUGCGGCCUCCUCUGCUGCGGGCGGAGCAGGCACACUGAGGAACUGAAGCAGGCAUUGGGACUGCGCUUCUUUACCCAGGGUUCUGUGGGUGGCCAUCAGUCACCGCACAGGCCUCCCC